GUUAGAGAGUCGGAAGCAGCUAAUAGAUGGCGACAGUAUCAGUAAAAAACCUUGUUAAUAUUUUGUGCAAGGGAGUGGGCAAUCUAUAGUUGUCUUCAUCUAUGUGCCUGAGUCGCUACAACACCCCAGAUUACAGAGUAAUAACCUCUGUGAUCUGUGCUACAACACACUUUAAGUGUAGGAGGGCAAUCAGGAUUUUUCAGCUGGGUUGGAAACGUGCACUAGGGGAUUUUUCGCGCCGUUUGGCAACUUGGUAUUUUUGAGGUUGUCUGACUUUAGUUGUCCAUCCGCCAUUGUAGUCACAAAAUAUUCCCCAUGGGGGUAUGUUCUGUGAUUGUAGUCCUGUCUUGUUCUAUGGUGAAGCCUCACACGUCAAUCAAAGGAGUAAUGUUGUGUUUUGAUCGCUACGCCUUUAUUCCAUAUGUAAUUGUAAAUUGGCAUGCGAAAGCUCUUUAAACAGUAUCCCAUUGCAGUGUGGAGUGGGCAAGUGGUGCUAUUGAGUAGAGGUGUUGCGCCCUCAAUUAUGUCGAGCUCCAGGUCUUCGACUACAGCCCCCCAAGGAGGAUUUGAGGCAGCCAGGUAGGAUGCCUGCGAGCAGUUUGAGGGCGGAUUGACCCCUCACCGUUUUGGUAAAAUGCCCGCAGUCCAAACCAAUUCCGACGGCUACUUGAAGACUGAGACCAUUCAGGAUGAUCAUCCCUCCGACAUUGUGGAUGAGGAGCAGGUCCAGCUUUCGCUGGACCC
rnacentral:lncRNA from 1 species